AACGAACGCUGGCGGCAGGCCUAACACAUGCAAGUCGAGCGGGCACGUCGGGCUUAGGGGCGGAGGGGGGAGGAAGGAGUGGGAACGAACACUUGGCUACGGAAUACCUUCGGGAAGCAGAGAUUAAUACAGCAUAGGCUCAUAGCGGGUAAGAGCUACCGCUAAAGGAUGGGCCUGGGAUAGUUUCGGUGGUUGGGGAUGGAAUCGCGGCCUAUCAGCUUGGUGGUGGGGUGGUGGCUUACCAAGGCCAUGAAGGGUAGCCGGCCUGAGAGGGUGACCGGCGAGAGUGGGACUGAGAUACGGCACAGACGCCUACGGGAGGCAGCAGUGGGGAAUAUUGCACAAUGGGCGGAAGCCUGAUGCAGCAACGCCGCGUGCGGGAUGACGGCCUUCGGGUUGUAAACCGCUUUCGCCUGUGACGAAGCGUGAGUGACGGUAAUGGGUAAAGAAGCACCGGCUAACUACGUG
rnacentral:rRNA from 1 species